UACGAAGGGGGCUAGCGUUGUUCGGAUUUACUGGGCGUAAAGCGCACGUAGGCGGAUCGUUAAGUCGGGGGUGAAAUCCUGGAGCUCAACUCCAGAACUGCCUUCGAUACUGGCGAUCUCGAGUCCGGAAGAGGUGAGUGGAACUCCUAGUGUAGAGGUGGAACUCGUAGAUAUUAGGAAGAACACCAGUGGCGAAGGCGACUCACUGGUCCGGUACUGACGCUGAGGUGCGAAAGCGUGGGGAGCAAACAGG
rnacentral:rRNA from 1 species